GACACCUCUGCGUGUGUCUAGCAUCACGUGACGUUGACAUGUGGUUGAAUGAUGGAGGGAUUGAUGGGAGAGGGUCUCUGUCCAACAUCUAUUAUUAACCACCUGAUUUUAUUUUCUGAAUUAACCUUCAAGGCAAGAGUGACAUCACCAUCCCCAUCAUCAUUGGGUUCGUUGUUCUCCCUCUCGCUGCUGCUGCUAUUGUUGGAGUCCUUCUGUACAAGAAGAGGAACGCUUCAGACAAGCGACACAAACUAGUGGGUUCUGACACCAGCUCUGAGAACACUGAGGGGCAGAAUCCGGCUCCUGAGGCCCAACCUCUGACCACA